CGAGGUGUGGCGCAACUGGUAGCGCGCCUGCUUUGGGAGCAGGAGGUUCCGAGUUCGAGUCUCGGCUCCUCGA